rnacentral:lncRNA from 1 species
UACUUCUGAAAGGAAAUAUAGUAUAAUGGGUACUUCCAAAAAGGUUUAGGCAAUUUAUCAGGUAAUUGAAAAAAACCACCUGUUAAUAUCAUCAAUCCUUCUAUUGCUGCACCUAUUACAAUGCCAGUGAGGAAAUUAGGUACGAUUGCUGCAACGUUCAUCAUUAGAGUUUCGACUAUCAUCAUACAAGUGAAAAGGAUCAGAGUAAAAUAGCUGAAAUGGCCAAAUCCACUUUGAAAUCCAGUAAUGAAAUAUGCAAUAGCACCUGGAACCAAUGAAUUCAAUAUCAAGUAUGGUAUUGAAGAAAGUGUGUUGCUUAUUACAAAAGCAAAACAUCCAUAAUGCCCAUUCAAAUUUUCUCGUUGAAAUACCUGCAAUUUUUAAUUCCCGUAAGGAAAUUAGGCACGAUUGCUGCAACGUUCAUCAUUAGGGUUUCGACUAUCAUCAUACAAAUGAAGAGGAUCAGAGUAAAGUAGCUGAAAUGGCCAAAUCCACUUUGAAAUCCAGUAAUAAAAUAGGCAAUGGCACCUGGAACCAAU